rnacentral:rRNA from 1 species
CAAAAACAUCUUUUCUUGUUAGUUUUUGAAGUAUGGCCUGCCCACUGACGUUUAAAGUUGAAGGGCCGCGGUAUUUUGACCGUGCAAAGGUAGCAUAAUCAUUAGUUCUUUAAUUGUGAUCUGGUAUGAAUGGCUUGACGAGACAUAAACUGUCUUAGAGGUAUUGGUCGUUGAAUUUGGUUUUUGAGUUAAAAUUCUUAGAUGUUUUUAUGGGACGAGAAGACCCUAUAGAGUUUGACAUUUUUUUUGCUUGUUAUAUAUUUGUUUGUUUUGUUUAUUUGAGUUGUUUAGAGUGUUUUGUUGGGGUGAUGGGAGGGAUAAUACUUAACCCCUCUUUGUUUGUGUAUAUUUAUUUAUAUUUGUUUGAUCCAUUUAUUUUGAUUAAAAGAUUAAAUUACCUU